UCGGUCACAGGGGUACGGAAUCACAGCAGCAGCUGGGUUGGGAAGCCCUCUGAGAUCGCUGAAUCGAGCCUAUGACUGAACACAUCCAGCCUUUCGCACACUCCUCCUGCUGGCAGGAGCCACAGGGAUCACGGAGUGCGGCGCCUGGCCCUGCACAGACACGCCAACAAUGCCACCCUGUGCCUGGGAGCGGUGUCCUAACCCUGAAUUCUGUCAGUCGUGGGGCUGUGCCCAUUCCCGGGGGAGCCUGGGCAGUGCCCAGCACCCUCUGGGGGAAGAACUUUUCCUCAUUCCAACCUAAACCUCUCGUGGCUCAGCUUGUGCUGUUCCCUGGCUGCUGUCACCGCGAGUGACCAGGGACAGGCACUGUGUGGGCAAAGAUGCUGUCAUUUCACUGAAGCAGCCUGGCUCUGGUCCUCUGCAGCUCCAAUAAAUACAAGAGAAUAGCAGAGAUGUACCUGCAGGUCUGAAAUUUCUGCACUGAACUCUGCAUUUGGAGAGGAGAUGCAACAUGUGCUGGCAGAGCAGCAACAUUUUUUCUCUGUGCAAGACAAGGAUAUGUCAUGUCAAGAUCAAUAAGCAGGAGAAUUGCCAUCUCCACCUCUGCAGCUGUGUUGAAACCGAGUGUGAAAUGACAGUGAGACGGAUUUGACAGGUUAAAAAAAAGAAUACAAACCAGAG